UUUGUAAGUUUAGCACUGCUUUCAAAGAAGAUACUACUUGACGACAACUUUAAAUUUUCUUCAUUAUUUUGGAGCUAUGAGUUUUUCCAUUGCACUUCAUAUCAAAAUCUUUGUGGUGGCUUAUUCAAAAGUAGAAAAAAGAGGCUCCAAAGUGGCUUGUUUGACUCACCGAAGAAAACAAAUGCUAGCUUUUGUGUUUGGACUCAACGUAAUGUUUUACAUCGUUUUCUUUUUACCUUUUGCGUUUGCUGCUCUCGUCAAGGACUUGAAGACGUUCGAGUAUGAGACCGAUGUUGUAGAAUAUAAUCCUUUAGUGUUGGGUUUAUUAUACUACACAUCGGACGGAGCAAAAUCUCCCACAACCCUACCGUACUCGGCAAUACAAUAUGAUGAUGAUGUCGAAAUAUGGAAAUCGAUGAAAAGAUCUGAAAUUGGAUAUAAAUUCUUCAGAAUUCUCUCCCUGCUGUAUGGACCUUUGUAUUAUGUUUCUUUGAUUUUGAUUCUGACUCAUUUCAAAACAGCCGCUCAAAUUAUACGCGAUUGGUUCAAAGGAAAAAUAC